GCCUGGGUGGCUCAGUGGUUGAGCAUCUGCCUUCAGCUCAGGUCAUGAUCCCAGGGUCCUGAGAUCGAGUCUCAUAUCAGGCU
rfam:Canis lupus familiaris chromosome 29, whole genome shotgun sequence.